CGACAGUGACGUCCAUGGGUAGCUGUUUCUCUUCCUGCCACUAGAUGGACGUCACGUUCCAUCAAACUAUUGAGUGAAGGUGCUGGUAUCCAAUCUGAAGUCUGGUCAGUAAGGUGCUACGUGCUGCUCUCCAAGGUGUUUGUACCUGCAUGUCUACAGGAGACACAAAGGUCAGGGAGAUAAGAAUCGAUUAGGAAGAGUGGACUACAGACUCUGGGCCUUACUAAAGCAACACACCUUGUGAACAUGAGCAGCCAAGCAUCAGAGCAGCACUUCACAGACCCUCCUCUGCCCUAUUCUCUCAAGGGUCCACCAUAAUGUGUUCCUUUCCUCUGGUCCCGGCCUCCUCCCCCGAGUACAGCCACCGCACAGGAGAUGAACUCACCAGACAGGUGCCAUACUGCUCAGAAUGACAAUUUGCCUUUUGGAAAUCAGCCUCUGGCUCCAUUGUGUUCCCUGAAAUUGAGUUAGGCCAUCAGCAGACACUCAACAACUCCCUCCUGUCCCCUCCUCCCACCUCCCUCUCGCCCUCUCUCUGUCUCUCUGUCAGGUCCUUUAAUGUUAAAGCUAGCAGAGGAGAGUGCUUCCAUUUGAAAGUGUUCACAAUAAAAGCAUUUUUUUUUAAAUUGGAAGAGCAUUGCAUAUUAUGCAAUCGUUAGGGAGAUGUCUGUCAUAAAGGUUGUAAUAAAAAGACUGGACCAUAUACAAGUGAGCAGGCAGCAGUAUUCAUUUUCAUGUACACAAAUGGUAUCAGUGCAGUCUGAUUGCAUAUUUUUAUGUGAUACCAAAUAGACAGGUAGGGCUGGAAAAAAAACAUAGCCAUCCCUUUGCAAUAAAAGUAGAAAUGACACCACUUUAUUAAAUAAUUAAGCCCCAGCACUGUUCUGUAACCUAAAGGGUAUCCCAUAGUCUCCUGAAGCAACCACCUAGUCCAUAUAUCUCCAGCAGAGCUGGCCAGCAGCAACUCUUGAGAUAUUAUUUAUGGUCAGGUCAGGCAGUAUGCAGAGAUCUGCUAGUUGGCCAAAAGAGACAGAGUCCUUGGUCAAGCCUAAUUAACUACUGCGUCAAAAAGCAAAUGAGUUAGCCAUCGGAGAAGCGGUUGAGAGAUCCAUUCGUCUCGGGUCAUCCUGCAGAAUAUAUGCGUUUCAGAGAUUUAUGGUAUUGCACAGGUAGGACAACUAACCUAGUUACUGAUGCAGUGAGGCUUACAGUAGUGCAAUGAUGGCAGGAAGGCAGAAGCAGGAAUCCAAUUGACCGCUCCAGUCAGUUAAUUGCUUGGCCAAGUAGAACUUAUUUGCAACCACUUGGGGCUUUUACAUCAGAUAUGGUUUCUUGUAAAACACUUGCUGUGUGUCUGAUUACCAAACAGUGACAGAAAAGCAUAAAAUUAAUAUGGCUAUUAGACGUCACAUUAAAGGCUUUGUAUCUCUCUUUGUAAAGACAGGUCAGGCUGUUUAACUGGAUUUUGCUGCUGUCACUCAUUAUAAGGCAGAACAGAGAGUUUAUUCUGCUGUUUAAUAUUUGAUCACACUAAUGCACACCUCAUUUACAGAAUAUGAAGAUACAAAUGGCCUCUGUGAUAAUAAUGAGAGGGAUAUUCUCGAGGGAAUAAUAGUGAAUUUUCUAGUUGUACAAUCAGCUCAGCCGGUCAUUUUAUGUCCACAGUCAGUGGCCUGUUCUUGUUCAGCUCAUUCCAGUAUUCAUAAAUGUGCAUGUAUGUAUUUAUUUUUUUUUUACCACAGCCACUAGAGAGAAUAUAAGAAUAUUUUCCUACUUCCAUGAUACACAGUUAAAUGCAUUUAGAGUCAUUGAUCAUUAUGCUUACUGAUGACAAAUGUAUAUCUUCAAGGCGGAUGCCAUUUUCAAAUUCUAUGUUUCAGAAUUUUAUUUCUCUAUGUGCAAGGUCAUAUUCAUACCAGUGCAUAGUGAAGUAUUUAUUUAAUUUAUUGAACACAGUGAUUGUACAUUUGUAAAAGUCAAUUGAAGUCAGCUCUAAACAAGUAUCACGUCAUCUGAAAGCACAAUACACAUUUACUAAUUAGCCUACACUGCAUUACACUGCAACUCUCCAACAUUCACCGGUCUUGCAUGAUUCUCCAUUGUUUUAUAUGAUGUGAUUCUGCUCCUCUCACUAAGUGGUAGCCUGUGUUUUGAGGUUGUUUUUUUUUUAAAGUCAGCUCUCUAAAUGAGGUUGGAAGAGGAUUUAUAAGUGCUGACAACAAAAGGGCCUGGACUGGAAAACUGUCAUCUAGAAUGUGAGUGGAAAUGAGCUAUGAGAGCGCGGCUAAUUAGUUGUCUUCUACUUUCAACAUUGUGUGUGUGUGUGUGUGUGUGAGUGUCCUUGUGUGUAGAGUCUCUUUGCCUUCUGCUAUACUAGCAUCAGAGUAUUCCAUUUAUUUAUAGUUUGGAGGACAUUUUUAAACGUUUAUUGGAGAUUUGACAGUAGUGAGAUGACAGGAAAUGAGGGGGGAGAGAUGGGGAAUAACCUCAGACUGUAUAUAGUUUUACUUCCUGUCUUUGUUUGCUUGCUUUUCCCUCCAGUUUAGAUUUUUUGCUCCACCCUAAUUAGUGUCACCUGUGUUUAGUUAUCCUGCCCUUACCUGUGUGUGUAUAGUCUGUGUGCUUCCCUUCAUCUGUGUCAGUUCGUCUUGGUUUGUGUGCCUUGAGUUCCAGCCCUUUUUCCAGUGUUUCUCAUGUUUGGAUUUCCUACGUCGGUUAUUUGGACUCUGCCUGC